GACGAACGCUGGCGGCGUGGAUUAGGCAUGCAAGUCGAACGGUAGGAUACCUUCGGGUAUCUGAGAGUGGCGAACGGGUGAGUAACACGUAGGUGAUCUACCCUCAAGAUUGGGACAACCCAGGGAAACUUGGGCUAAUACCGGAUGAAAGCAGCAGUGAUGUUGUUUGAAAGGUGGCGUAAGCUGCCGUUUGGGGAUGAGCCUGCGCUCUAUUAGUUAGUUGGCGGGGUAAAGGCCCACCAAGGCGAUGAUAGAUAGGCGGCCUUAACGGGUGGUCGCCCACACUGGGAUUGAGAUACGGCCCAGACUCCUACGGGAGGCAGCAGUCGAGAAUAGUCUACAAUGGUCGGAAGACUGAUAGUGCGACGCCGCGUGAACGAUGAAUCCCUUCGGGGUGUAAAGUUCUUUUAUAUGUGAGCAGUGCUUCUUAUAUUAACAGUAUGGGGAGAGAGAUAUUAGCAUAUGAAUAAGCAACGGCUAACUCCGUGCCAGCA
rnacentral:rRNA from 1 species